ACAUCUUGAAACGGAGGGUGUAAUAAUGAAAGACGGUUUUGCUGUCACUUAUAGAUGGAUCCGCGCCGCAUUAGCUAGUUGGUAAGGUAACGGCUUACCAAGGCAACGAUGCGUAGCCGACCUGAGAGGGUGAUCGGCCACACUGGAACUGAGACACGGUCCAGACUCCUACGGGAGGCAGCAGUAGGGAAUCUUCCGCACUGGGCGAAAGCCUGACGGAUCAACGCCGCGUGAGUGAUGAAGGUCUUCGGAUCGUAAAACUCUGUUAUUAGGGAAGAACAAAUGUGUAAGUAACUAUGCACGUCUUGACGGUACCUAAUCAGAAAGCCACGGCUAACUACGUGCCAGCAGCCGCGGUAAUACGUAUGUGGCAAGCGUUAUCCGGAAUUAUUGGGCGUCAAGCGCGCGUAGGCCGUUUUUAAGUCUG
rnacentral:rRNA from 1 species